UGGCGGCAGGCCUAACACAUGCAAGUCGAGCGGUAGAAAGUAGCUUGCUACUUUUGAGAGCGGCGGACGGGUGAGUAACGCGUGGGAAUCUACCUGGUAGUGGGGGACAACUUGGGGAAACUCAAGCUAAUACCGCAUACGCCCUACGGGGGAAAGGAGGGGCUCUUAGGACCUUUCGCUAUCAGAUGAGCCUGCGUAGGAUUAGCUAGUUGGUAGGGUAAAGGCCUACCAAGGCGACGAUCCUUAGCUGGUCUGAGAGGAUGAUCAGCCACACUGGGACUGAGACACGGCCCAGACUCCUACGGGAGGCAGCAGUGGGGAAUAUUGGACAAUGGGGGCAACCCUGAUCCAGCCAUGCCGCGUGUGUGAAGAAGGCCUUCGGGUUGUAAAGCACUUUCAGUGGUGAGGAAGGGUGUGAUGUUAAUACCAUCAUACAUUGACGUUAGCCACAGAAGAAGCACCGGCUAACUCCGUGCCAGCAGCCGCGGUAAUACG
rnacentral:rRNA from 1 species